rnacentral:rRNA from 1 species
UACGUAGGGUGCAAGCGUUGUCCGGAAUUAUUGGGCGUAAAGAGCUCGUAGGCGGUUUGUCGCGUCUGCUGUGAAAACUCGGGGCUUAACCCCGGGCCUGCAGCCGAUACGGGCAGGCUAGAGUUCGGUAGGGGAGACUGGAAUUCCUGGUGUAGCGGUGAAAUGCGCAGAUAUCAGGAGGAACACCGAUGGCGAAGGCAGGUCUCUGGGCCAUAACUGACGCUGAGAAGCGAAAGCAUGGGGAGCGAACAGG